CCUACGGGCGGCAGCAGUGGGGAAUAUUGGGCAAUGGGCGCAAGCCUGACCCAGCAACGCCGCGUGAAGGAAGAAGGCUCUCGGGUUGUAAACUUCUUUUCUCAGGGACGAAGCAAGUGACGGUACCUGACGAAUAAGCCACGGCUAACUACGUGCCAGCAGCCGCGGUAAUACGUAGGUGGCAAGCGUUAUCCGGAUUUACUGGGUGUAAAGGGCGUGUAGGCGGGACAGCAAGUCAGAUGUGAAAUCCAUGGGCUCAACCUGGGAACUGCAUUUGAAACUGUUGUUCUUGAGUGCUGGAGAGGCAGGCGGAAUUCCGAGUGUAGCGGUGAAAUGCGUAGAUAUACGGAGGAACACCAGUGGCGAAGGCGGUCUGCUGGACAUCAACUGACGCUGAGGCGCGAAAGCGUGGGGAGCAAACAGGAUUAGAUACCCGAGUAGUC
rnacentral:rRNA from 1 species